UACGUAGGUGGCAAGCGCUACUCGGAAUCACUAGGCGUAAAGCGCAGGUAGGAGGUUUAGUAAGUCUGUUGUGAAAGCUCCCGGCUUAACUGGGAGAGGUCAACGGAAACUGCUAGGCUAGAGUGCGGUAGAGGUAGCUGGAAUUCCCGGUGUAGCGGUGAAAUGCGUAGAUAUCGGGAGGAAUACCUAUGGCGAAAGCAGGCUACUGGACCGUCACUGACUCUGAUCUGCGAAAGCUAGGGGAGCAAACAGG
rnacentral:rRNA from 1 species